AAGGGUUUUAGGGAGGAGUUAGACAGCUGCUGGGAGCCUUUUCAGACAAGAAGAAAUUUGCCUGGAUUUACCAGAGUUUAGGAAACUCAGGAAACCUAAGUGUAAGUGUAACCCACACAUGAGCUCCUUCCAGGAAUGGAAGAGUGGCAAGGAGAGAUUAUAAAUGAGCACAGGAAACUUUUGGAGGUACUGGAGAUAUUCUCUGUUUUCACUGUCAUGAGUGUUUCAAAAUUGUAGAGAACAUCUCCCAAGCCCUGUUCUUACUCAAGGAAUUGCUCCUCUCCCAACUCUACUGUGGUUCCUGAUAGAACUGUGAUGGCUUUGCAUUAUGUUCAACAUUCCAGACAAAACUGCUGAAGUGUGCCAAACCAAGGAGUUCCUUUCUUUAAGGAUUCUGGAAUCAGGAGAGAGAAAAUCAGAACAAUCUUUCCAGGUAGAAACAAUUGCAUAAUGGGGAAAAAAUGAGAUGCAAUGGGACCUGCAUUUUCAACCUGAGAAAGGCAGCUUGUAUGCAUCAGGAGAGCUGCAUAAAGCUUGAUGCUAAUAUGCAGCAAGAGCCAAAGAUGAGAGAGCGAGAGAAAUUGCUUCUGACAACGUUCAAGUCUCUGUUUCCAGACACUUAACCUCUCUGAGCCUUUAUAAAAUGUGAAGGCAGGGGAGAGAAAUAAUUGCAUCUUAGAAGGCUGUGUGCCCAUCACUGUUGAAGAGAGAAAGGGCUUCAGCCAGCCAACAAUGGCCAAGCAACACUGAGAGUGGACUGUCCUUCUUUUAUUCACAUCUGGACCUGAGCAGGAAAGAGCAAUACCAGAUGAAGAAAUCUAGUUUGUUCUGUGCUUGACUUCUAAACAGCUUCUGUGACCUGGCCAUGGGUGUUAUGACCUUUCAGCUGAUAAACAGGUAAGUCUCUAUCAUCUCACACGUUUCCCUCUUGUUUUAAACAAAAUGGCAUGCUAAAUUUUCACAAAUGUCUUCCAUAGUUUUGGGUACCAUAAGGGGUGUCAUGAACCAUUUCUCAGGCCCUUCUUGCUAGAUAGUCUUCUCAUGCACACUCUCUUCUCAUAGAGCUAACAGAUCUGGCUUAGCCAAGGUGGUUUUCCUUGAUCAUACAGACUACACAGCUCUUCACUGAGGAAGCACAGUUGCAUUGGUGAGUUAAAACAAAAGGAUGGCCAGAUGGAAACAGCCCUUCAAAUUUCCUUUACUUAUGUUUUUAGAUCUUGCUCUGAGGUACGCCUCUACCAUUGCCUUUUUAUCUGCUGUGCUCUAUAAAUCAGGAUUUUUGCAUAUACUGUAUGAUACAUUCUGACACUCUCCAUUUUAUUUUCUUAAAAGAAAGCAAGUGUGCCCCCGCCCAAAUUAAUGUUAAUAUCUCCUAAUGGAUUCCAAGCUGGCAUGCCCACAAAGCUCCUUCCAACUGGGAUUUGCAUUAAAUGAGUUCCCUGUGUCCAGAGUCACAAAACUGCUUCUGACAGAUGAGAAGGGACAUGUUUUAUUUCAGCUCUACAUAGUUGGCCAACUUAAAGUUAAAAAAAUGAAAACAAAGAACUUCUCCAAAAACUUUCAAUGAUAACGUGUACAUGUUAUGACUUUUGCCUCCUUGUGCAGAAAGAGAUCAGGGGAUUAAUACAAGGCUGGGUAACACAGGGUCUCUAGUCUCACAAAGCUGUGAUGUCUGAGCUUGCUCCCUCCAUUGAGUACCAUUCUAAAAAUAUAACUUUCAGAUCAUGAAUCAAUUCAAAACCCUCACAGGCUCACCCCUGGUCUCCAAGUCCUUCCACACGUCAAGCGAUCCACCCAGACUCCGUUUGCACCACAGGUUCUGCAAGUACAACCAGCACUCCUUUUGAUAAAUGCCCUUUGCCAAGAUGCAGGUCAGUGUAAUUUCCCAAAAGGUUAGGAGUGACUGCUCAGAGAGGACUCGCUUAUUAUUUUAAAUGCCACCUAACCCAUUCUCCAAGGUUUACGGAGUUAUUUACAAUUUGAUUCCAUCACACCCGCCUGUUUGUCUGACCUGCCUCCCACCUCCUCUCAUCACUAUCACUAAAAGCCUUGAAACAGGAUUCAAUGGUCAAGAGUCCUGCCCUUCUGAGCCAGGGCGGUGUCUCACUGAAGAGAAGGAAGUCACCCUAAUGGGCAAUUUUUCCUCUAAGUCAUGCUUUAAAGUCAUCGAUAAAAUCCACCUAUUUCGAGGCAUGCAGGAUUGAUUGUAUCCAUGUGGCUGCAAAUGUUUAGUCCAUUUUCAAUUUGUUCAGCCAGAUUAAAACCCCAAUACUAAUGCGUUACACUAACAAGCUAGCAAGCUUCAAAAAGUCCUCAUUUCUCCCCUCUAUGCUGUUGUUGUGUUGAUUUGAGUGGAUAAUUUUAGCUAAGUGUACUUUUAAGGAACAAAUAUUCAUAGUAUAAACCUGUUUGAAUAAUAAUAAAAAGGGUAAUAGUAGUAACAUAAAGAUGAUCCAUUUAAUGUCUACUGUGUGCCAACAAUGAUGCAUGGAAUUCAGCCACUUAUUACAUAUAACUAUAUAUACAUAUAUGCAUAUAGAGUUUUUAACAUGAUUUAUAUAGAGCUUUUAUAUGUGUAUGUAUGUGCUUAACUCAUACCAUCUCUAUAGAUUAUAUAUAAGAGCAUUAUUCUUGAUGAAUAAGAAAGGUGAUA